GUGUUUUGUGAUGGAGCAUGGAACGGAAUUUAACUCAUCAACAUUUUCUUUUAUGGAUGAAGAUCACACCUUUGGGAACUCUGUUAGGUUCACCUUGAAUCAAGACCCAAGAGUGGUAUUAAAUGGGUACAGUAUCCCUCAUCCUUCGGAUAACAAGUCUGUGGAAAAGGACAAGUUGACCACAUAUAUGGCCAAUCAAAUUCUUGAGGUAAAGUAGUCUAAGAGUCCUUCCUGGUUGCAAACUGAAAUUCUCUGAACUUUCUGAGCCAAUGGUAGUGAUUUCCAAAGAAUUAAUCAUGGUGAUGAUUUCAAUUCUGAUAUGCUCCUUUGUGGGCAUUGUCAAGUUCAAAUCUUUAUGAUAAUCCACUCGUUUGAGUCAAGAUCUUUUUCGUGUUAUUGAUUAAUUGCUUUAAACUUCAAUAAAAGCUCAUAUAUUGGCCACCAUC